rnacentral:rRNA from 1 species
CCACCACUAAGCCAGUGGUGAACUCCACAUCCGCAUCCUUUGCUGAGGAUACGGUUAACGGAGCGAAAGCGACGUUCAACCGCAAAACAAGCAGAGGGGGCUUAGUGGUGGGGUGACUGCGUACCUUUUGUAUAAUGGGUCAGCGACUUAUAUUCUGUAGCAAGGUUAACCGAAUAGGGGAGCCGGAGGGAAACCGAGUCUUAAUUGGGCGUUAAGUUGCAGGGUAUAGACCCGAAACCCGGUGAUCUAGCCAUGGGCAGGUUGAAGGUUGGGUAACACUAACUGGAGGACCGAACCGACUAAUGUUGAAAAAUUAGCGGAUGACCUGUGGCUGGGGGUGAAAGGCCAAUCAAACCGGGAGAUAGCUGGUUCUCCCCGAAAGCUAUUUAGGUAGCGCCUCGUGAAUUCAUCUCCGGGGGUAGAGCACUGUUUCGGCUAGGGGGCCAUCCCGGCUUACCAACCCGAUGCAAACUGCGAAUACCGGAGAAUGUUAUCACGGGAGACACACGGCGGGUGCUAACGUCCGUCGUGAAGAGGGAAACAACCCAGACCGCCAGCUAAGGUCCCAAAGUCAUGGUUAAGUGGGAAACGAUGUGGGAAGGCCCAGACAGCCAGGAUGUUGGCUUAGAAGCAGCCAUCAUUUAAAGAAAGCGUAAUAGCUCACUGGUCGAGUCGGCCUGCGCGGAAGAUGUAACGGGGCUAAACCAUGCACCGAAGCUGCGGCAGCGAACGUAUCACCCAAGACAACUUUACGGAGUUGACGAUUGACGGAGCGAAGCGACGUCAAAGCGUUCAUUAAAGUCGAGUUGGCUUAGGGAUACGUUCGUUGGGUAGGGGAGCGUUCUGUAAGCCUGUGAAGGUGUGUCGUGAGGCAUGCUGGAGGUAUCAGAAGUGCGAAUGCUGACAUAAGUAACGAUAAAGCGGGUGAAAAGCCCGCUCGCCGGAAGACCAAGGGUUCCUGUCCAACGUUAAUCGGGGCAGGGUGAGUCGACCCCUAAGGCGAGGCCGAAAGGCGUAGUCGAUGGGAAACGGGUUAAUAUUCCCGUACUUGGUGUUACUGCGAAGGGGGGACGGAGAAGGCUAUGUUGGCCGGGCGACGGUUGUCCCGGUUUAAGCGUGUAGGUGUGUGUUCCAGGUAAAUCCGGUUCACUUUAACACUGAGGCGUGACGACGAGGCACUACGGUGCUGAAGCAACAAAUGCCCUGCUUCCAGGAAAAGCCUCUAAGCAUCAGGUAACACGAAAUCGUACCCCAAACCGACACAGGUGGUCAGGUAGAGAAUACCAAGGCGCUUGAGAGAACUCGGGUGAAGGAACUAGGCAAAAUGGUGCCGUAACUUCGGGAGAAGGCACGCUGACACGUAGGUGAAGUGAUUUACUCAUGGAGCUGAAGUCAGUCGAAGAUACCAGCUGGCUGCAACUGUUUAUUAAAAACACAGCACUGUGCAAACACGAAAGUGGACGUAUACGGUGUGACGCCUGCCCGGUGCCGGAAGGUUAAUUGAUGGGGUCAGCGUAAGCGAAGCUCCUGAUCGAAGCCCCGGUAAACGGCGGCCGUAACUAUAACGGUCCUAAGGUAGCGAAAUUCCUUGUCGGGUAAGUUCCGACCUGCACGAAUGGCGUAAUGAUGGCCAGGCUGUCUCCACCCGAGACUCAGUGAAAUUGAACUCGCUGUGAAGAUGCAGUGUACCCGCGGCAAGACGGAAAGACCCCGUGAACCUUUACUAUAGCUUGACACUGAACAUUGAGCCUUGAUGUGUAGGAUAGGUGGGAGGCUUUGAAGUGUGGACGCCAGUCUGCAUGGAGCCGACCUUGAAAUACCACCCUUUAAUGUUUGAUGUUCUAACGUGGACCCGUAAUCCGGGUUGCGGACAGUGUCUGGUGGGUAGUUUGACUGGGGCGGUCUCCUCCUAAAGAGUAACGGAGGAGCACGAAGGUUGGCUAAUCCUGGUCGGACAUCAGGAGGUUAGUGCAAUGGCAUAAGCCAGCUUGACUGCGAGCGUGACGGCGCGAGCAGGUGCGAAAGCAGGUCAUAGUGAUCCGGUGGUUCUGAAUGGAAGGGCCAUCGCUCAACGGAUAAAAGGUACUCCGGGGAUAACAGGCUGAUACCGCCCAAGAGUUCAUAUCGACGGCGGUGUUUGGCACCUCGAUGUCGGCUCAUCACAUCCUGGGGCUGAAGUAGGUCCCAAGGGUAUGGCUGUUCGCCAUUUAAAGUGGUACGCGAGCUGGGUUUAGAACGUCGUGAGACAGUUCGGUCCCUAUCUGCCGUGGGCGCUGGAGAACUGAGGGGGGCUGCUCCUAGUACGAGAGGACCGGAGUGGACGCAUCACUGGUGUUCGGGUUGUCAUGCCAAUGGCACUGCCCGGUAGCUAAAUGCGGAAGAGAUAAGUGCUGAAAGCAUCUAAGCACGAAACUUGCCCCGAGAUGAGUUCUCCCUGAGACUUAGAGUCUCCUGAAGGAACGUUGAAGACGACGACGUUGAUAGGCC